rnacentral:misc_RNA from 1 species
GAUGAAGAACGUAGCGAAAUGCGAUAAGUAAUGUGAAUUGCAGAGUUCAGUGAAUCAUCGAAUCUUUGAACGCACAUUGCGCCCGUCAGUAUUCUGACGGGCAUGCCUGUCCGAGCGUCAUUUCAACCCUCAAGCACUGCUUGGCCUUGGCGGAUUGCGUGCCCUCGCGGCGCUGCAACCGCCCAAAUACAGUGGCGGUCCCGCUGCGGCUCCCUUUGCGUAGUAACUCACCUCGCACUGGACCGGGCGGCGGCCUGCCGUAAAACCCCAACUCACGAAAUGUUGACCUCGGAUCAGGUAGGAAUACCCGCUGAACUUAAGCAUAUCAAUAAGCGGAGGA